UUUUAAGAUAAGGGCCCCAAAUCUCCAUCUUGAUGGAGAUGGCAGAACAGCAAUCUGACACCUCCAGAAAUAGACAGUGCAGUGAGUGCUGUAUGGUUCAGCAUACUUCGUGUCUCACACAUGGGGUGUACAUGAGCAUGCAGUGCUGAGGUGCUUUUCAUGUGUUAAAUAUUCCCGCCUAUCUACAGACUGAGAACUUUGUAAAUACUGAAUAUCAUGAGCAUGAUAAUCAAUUAUUCCAAUAGAAAAAAAAGUUAUCAUUGAAUUUGAAUGGUAUGACAACAAGAGGAGAGAGGAAGUACCGUCAAAAAGAGCAAUUUAUUGUGCAUCUUCUGUGUGAGAAAAAAUAGCUUAAAUAUGACAUGGCGAUGAUGAGGGAACCGUAGGUUUCAAAGGAAGAGUCAUUUGACUUGACCUGCUUUUGUAUCUCAGCAGGCCCCAUUGGAGAGCCCCAGCCUGCUGUUCUCAUGAGCAAUUUCAGUUACCCUGAUGCCAUAUUAGCUUUGGACAAACUGUGAAUAAGAUGACUCCUGCUCUCAACAUGCAUUCUGCAACAGGAUCAAUAAGGAGAGCCUUUGACUCUUCACUCACUCCUGAAGAUGAUACAGCCCUGUAGGGAGAAGUUUUGGCGAGAGACUCCCCCAGUGCAAUCCCUACAGACUGGAUAUACUAUGAAGACCUACAGACAUCCAGGGACUGGAAGAGGACCAAAAGUGCUGCCACAGUACAAAUAACAUGUCUCUUCUGCUGUGACAAAGAGUACGCUUCAGCCACUGGAUCCAAAAAGACUCUUUAAAUCACAUUAAGUAUUCAACAGUGGUGACAACACAGAGAGCACGAGGACCUGACGGGACAAACUUACGGUCAAAAAGCUGCAGAUGACCCACAACCAGGAAUAAACCAACAAAUGGCAGAUGUUAUGCAAUUCAACUUACCUUGUAUUUACUUAUGAAAGACUGCAAAUGGGCAGCACAUUUAAAAUGGGAAGCAUUUUAAUUAAAAUGCUUUCAUUUUGUUGCUACACUUAAAGUUGGUGGAUUGAAG
ensembl:lncRNA